rnacentral:lncRNA from 1 species
GUACACUUUUGUGGGUUCCGAAGGCAUAUACCAUCAUAAAUCAUGCCAUGCGCAGGCAUAAAUCCGUGUAGAUUAGUUUCUUCUCUUCAGCUCACGUCCUCUUAGUUUCCUAUGUGUAAGAGGUAGACAGGCUUAGUAGUACGGAAAAGGAGUAAAGAUACGAUCGCUAUAGAACGUGUAGUGUGUGUACUCUGUAUUGUUUGCAGCUAUUCGGUGUUCGCUAGCUUGCCAAUCCUACCUGAGUUUCUGAGGUUGUAUGAGUCACGUGCCUCUGGCGCAUGAAGCUAUCAGCACUGCCCUUCAUUCCACGGCCUUACACUAUGCCAUACCUAUGUUUUGCCCUGAUAUCCUCGCUCUGUUACAAUUUGGUUGGAGCGCAUAUUUGCUACCUGGAUAAUCUGAACAUGAUAAGAAGCUGCCAGUACUCAGGCAAAAUUUCAACCAUUGCUCUGACAAAACGCUCACAACAUUGAAAUGACUCGUGUGCCAUGAAUAAGUCGGGACUAGCCAGCCAUUCACUCAAUCACUACCGUACCUACAGGUGUUUGAUCGCCUACAUCGGGCCGCCUCAUGCCACAAGAGAAUGACCUGGUCGCUAGUCGCAAGUCAGAAGAACGAGAAAUAGGAUCUGUUAUGUCCUCCGAGGGCUUGAUUCUAAAAGGCCAUCACCUCAAUAUAGCCGUGCCACUGAGGCAAUCAUAUCGAGAGGAGGAUGAUCCCAAUAUCUGGGAUAAAUGGGCCAAAGAUAUCGGCAAACUGUCCUUUAAGCAAUUCCUCUUCUCACCAGAUCCGAGCUCAGGGCUUGCAGGAUGCCUUUCUUGACAUUCGGGACUCUAUAGAUCCUAGGAUCCGUUAGUACAAUGAGAUGCAACAAAGGAAAUGGAGAGGGAGAAUUCUGCAGUAUACUAGGAUACUACGAUAUUGACCUACGGUCCUGAAAUCGCGAUGUACAGCAACGAGUCCACCUCAGGCCAGACUCGAAGAGCACGUCCAAUUCCCAACAUAGCUGGCUCUCAUCUAUUGACAACCACCUAUAUGGAUGAGCGCCGGAUGCCAAUUCUCCGCCAAUAAACUGAGCUGCUUAGAACAAUGUGAGAUUCAUGUUUCAGGUUUUCUGGAUACCUCGGGAAACCCUUCCUCUUGUUUCUUGUUACCCAGGGAGUUGACUACAUACAUCUCGAGUAUAGUCACUGGGUGGCGUAACGCCCUACAUCGCAUGGUAUCCAUGACCAUCUAGCCGGGAAGUACCGGCGAAGAGAAGGUGUAUGCCUCAGCCAUCACACGAACCUUGUCAAGCACAAUGGCAUUGAACGAACCCCGGUUCCCGAGUGCGCGAAAUCAAAUUCUCCGGUAUAGUCACAAGGCUCUGAUUUCCCCAAAAUCCAGACAGUUAAGACAUCCAUGGAUGCGAUACUCUGGCCAAUCACUAUUAGUGCACCUACCAAGGGUUCACCGAGAAGUCCGGGAUCCUCGACGGAGUACGUGGAUUGCAUGGAUCCAUCCAAUGAGCACCCUGAGUAUAAUAUUUUGCGCGAUGCACACGAGUUUAACCGGACCUUGGAGAUAUAAUAUAUUGUCCGAGGCCGGGGUCAUGGGUGUAUACUAUAUGGAUGGGUUAGGGUAUGUACCUGUAGAAUGAUGGUGAUGAUGUUACAUGCCAUUGUCCAUGGUAGGUAGUAGGUACAUGCACUUAUCACUUGACACAAGACAAGCAUCUGACUUGGUUGCACAGCUUUGUCGGGUGUAGUAUAGUACCAUGUCUUCUUUUUCUUUCUCUGAUAGUAAUCAUGUUCGUCUAAACCCGAUGAAGUCGGGAUCUUGUGAUGGUUAGUCACACUAACCAACUCUGAAAUUUGUGAUCUACGAUUACUUUAUCGUUUAUAGCCUGUCUAUCCAGUUCAUCGGUGCUGUUGCAUUUUCGCGUCGACAGUUGACGGUGCAUUCUCCGUUCAUAGAUGCAUGUACCGUUAUUGGUUGAAUGAACCAACUGCAAACUAUAAGCUAAUACGGCCUCUUUGCCUGGAACAGGCAGUACAACGCCGUCAGCAAGUAGCAAGGUAGGUAAUCCACAUCGUGGCUUGGAACCCGGCCUUCUCACUCGGACUUAGUCUGCCAUCUCCGUGGUAAUUGUUAAGUUCAUUUCGAUGUCCAGUAUACCUGGUAUAAUAAGCGACGCCCAGUUUGGCUUCAAGCCGGACAGUUUCUCCCUCGGAUUUAGUCCGCUAUUCCCAUGGUUACCAUGGUGUUCAACUUCAUAUCAUAUGUACCUGAUAUACUGAGACAACUCACCAACAUACAUGAAGCAUUGCCCCGCAAUGCCGGCUGACAGAACCCUCGCUAAAUCAUGACGUUGUUGUAGAGAUUUGCCAGCUAUGCAUAUCAGAUAUUGAACUUUUGCAUGUACAUUGAACAUCUGACGGCGUCGGUCUCUAUGGUGAGGCUUGCUAUUGUUAGAUUAAAAGCAUAACGUAAUCCGCUUUUCUGAUAGUUAUAUAACUAUCCAUCCACACGGAAUAGACGUUGUCAUGGAUACUUUACGCAAUUGUCCCAGAUUACAUCCGGACGUAUAUCGGAGAUGCAUCUCAAGGUCUGUCGUGAACCUUGCGAGUCGUUCAGGCUCGGAAUCAUAUAGUAUCGAAUAGCGCCUUAUUGCCAUCUAGGGCCAGUUUAUGGCAAUGAACCAGAAAAUGUCCGUUGUUUCGCCCCAUACAGGCGCGUUGAUAUUGCGCUUGGUCAAAACUGGUAUGAAUAACCAUAAAUACCCCAUCGCCACAGCACAAAACCAUCCGAUACCCUCAGAAUCUAGCAUGUAUCUUCGUAUAAAAGCAACGCUGGUGGAGUACGCAUGCAACAUUGGGACGGUAUAUGGUUUGGGGUAUCGAAAAUCGUGACAUCGAGAUCUAAGCCACAAAGAUUCGUUAGCGGCAUGUCAGGUUGCAUCGUUUUUCAUUCGUGACCGCAUAUGAAGAUCGAGGUAAUCGGACGAUGACGGAAGGAUAGUAACAUGGUAGCCUAAAAAAAGAAAGAGAAAAAAAGAAAGAGAAAAAAAAGAAAGAGAUGCCUGACAGCGUCUCAGGGCAAUCUUCUCGUCGCGUAGCACGUAUAUUGUAGCACAAUGCUUGCUCUGUGUUACGCAUUACAUCGUCGCCUGUGGUAUUCGUCGGUACUCGUUGAUAACAUCAACGCAAUCUGACCGCUGUCUGGCCUACUGCAGUCUCGAGUCAGAUCACUUCAGUUUGACGCAAGGUGGGUGCUUCUUACCAUCUCAAGGAUCCAAUGACCGCGAAACAAAGUUGAGUUCCGCCUCGAGCAUUUUUGAGAUCGCAGAUUUCUUUUUUUGUGGUUUUUUGCCUUGCUCUAUCACUUCAUUGGCUUGGUAGUAUCAGGCUUUAUGCAUGUCGUCGACCAAUGUUUGAGUUUCGACCCUCUGAGUAUCCAUUUUUGGGGUCUCUUUUUGAAGUUUUUCUUUUAUUUCCUUCGCUCGAGGUAGUAUUGGGGGAGUCACAAUAUAGACUUCAAGCUUCUUUGUUGUGGAAACGAAGAGCCUCGCCAGACUUGUCAUAUCGAUUAUUUGUUUGAAGUAAAUAGUUUGUAGGGGGGAGGUUGAUAUUAACGUAAGGGAAGGAGGAAAGUGUAGCUUUCGGAAGGGACGAGCCGUACGUACAGAGUAGGUAAGUCGACCCGUCCUCCGUGACUUCCUUCAGGCAACGUCCACCUUCACCUUGCAAGACAAUCUCUUCAUCCAAACACCAGUCAUCAAAAUACAACUUUCCUUCUGCCCACAAACUUACAGUCGCUCAUCGAAUACACCCUCGUACCGCCAUUGAGCACGGAGCCCCGAGCUUGGGUCUAGGCUAUUUAGGGGAAACACUCAAGCAUGGGGUGCCUAUGCACCCUAUCAGCUCUAGGAACGGAACAGUGCCUUGUCUUUGCUCCGUCACCAUCUGUGGCUGUGACUGUUACUCUUGAGUCAUUCCAAUCGUCUAUUCCAACCAGUGGCUUCACCGUUCUGCCAUCGCAACGGCAAUCGCACCCCUUGCUAUUUACGGCGCCGUCUCAUGCUUUGGACCCAGACGGGCCAAGAUUAUGACCUGAUACUAUAGUACUGUACGUACGGAUGCUUAGAGGCUCAAUUGGGAUUCAAUGAUCCACUCGGCACCCAACAAAUCUUAAGUUUAAGCACCGUGGGAAGACUCAAUAUCGGGUUAUAUCUCCUCUGCGCAUGAUGCUCGGAAUAUUAAUCCUUGUGUAAGUUGUGCCUGUCUUCAAGCUUGCCCGUACAAGGUUGUUCCCUGUUUCUGUCUGGGCCUUGUGAAACAGCUCUUGAAUUAUGUUUCGUCUCGGAGCCAAGUCAGUCACACAGACAAGAAAUGCUUGUGUGCACCUGUACAAAAAAGGUUCAUGGCAUCGACCCGCGCAUAAACUCGGAAAUCCUCCCAUCUCCAACGGGACAGAUGACACGACUCCUGAGUCCUUGCGCAAUGACAGAACGUGGCUGUGAUCCAAGCAUAGGAUGGGUACAAUGUGAACUCCCUAUCGGGAAAAGUCCAUAACAUACUUUUGGACAAGUGUUGAAGAAUGGUUUGAUACAAGUAAUGUCGCUGGGCGAACAGGCAUCUGUGUCAAAUUUGAGUGGAGUCCUGCAAAGAAAAUCAUCUAGCUACUUAGCUCACGCAUAGGGAAUCAGGGAUGAGUUGACCGCAGUGCUAUAAAAACUACUGUCGGACUCAGCAACAUCCCGGCCCUCCGAAUACGCCCUAUCUGACGCUAAUCCGACGAUCGUCAAGCCAAGGCUUCAUCUUUUUUUUGAUAGGAAGGCUCUUUAGUGGGGAGGCCGGCUAGUCUGAAUAUAGGCGCAGAAUUGAGAAGUCAGUUGACUUCUAGCCCCGACUAACCUAAGUUGGUUGGAGUCUUGCUGGAAAUGCAGCUAACUCAUACCUAAUGCACACCCACAUACAAGGACUUACCCUGGCCAAGGUUUCAAUAUUGCAUCAACAUGAACUCCUCUUGGUCUGUUCAGUCACAAGGCGGUCCAGUUCGAAAACCAAGGAUGUGUUGAAAGACGAAGUAAAAAAUAAUAAUUUGGGGAGAAAAACAGAAAAACAAAUAAUAAUAAGAGAGAUUAAGUUCCCCUCUGUGGUCUUUGCUGUGACAAGAUGUGGGUCGUUUUAGAGGAGAUGGAAACCCACAACAUUUGACUUCGACUCAGGCAUUUGAAAGUGCCGGAGUAAGGAAAAGAACAUUUCAACUUGCUUACUUACACCUCAAGGCGAACGUUAAGGUAAGUUACUUGAAGACAUGGGAGGGAUUCCCAGGAUUACGAGGCAUCCUGGUCGCCUCGUCAAUUUUUCCCUUGGCACCCACGGAAGAAAAACGGACUAUUGGUACCAGAUUGAAGACCAACGCUCGGAGGUAAAAUCACCAGAAGCACUCGCUCAUGGGUGUUCGGAAUAUUCAACCUAUUUAUCCACUCAACAAACUAUUACUCCGUAGUCGAAACUCUCUCUGGCGCCGGUGAAAUCUAAAAAUUCUCCAAUGGACCUUUACCAAAGCGCUGGGAAAGUGUUGAUGAGGAUUCAAGUAUACACCCGAUAUGGACUGGCGGGCGGAUAUUCAGGAACAUCUCACCAAUAGACUCUAACAGUCAGCGGUCAGCAGUCACAACAGUACACAGUACGACCAUUCCAAGAAGCACUCUGUAGAGUACUAUCAUUCAUUAGUUUUGCGUGCCUUGUUGGAUCGCCCAGAUUCCAAGGAUCAAGGAUUAAGGAAUUGUGGGGAUGCGGUCCGCGACCAUGGGCGCCAUGAGACCAUUUCUCCGUAGCAUGCCACUGUAGUUUCCUGAUUCCAAGAGUCGAACAUGGAAUGCGACUGACAGCAUUCACGUCACAUACCAGCUAC